UUUUCCUGAGGGGAAUUGAAAUGUCAUUGUACCCACUGGCCAGCGCCCUUUCCCACCUCAGCUGCUCUGGGCAAGGUCCAAGAGGUGACACCAAGGAGCUGCAGGCAGGAAUAUGGGAUGGUGACAGCCCUGGAGCAGAGCUCAGGCAGGCUGUGACCUGGUCAUGAAUGGACAUAUGCACGGAAAACACUGCUGCGAAUCUCAGGGAGCAAGAGGCGAAGCUGGAGUGUUGAAACAGGAGCAUCAGCUCUGGAAGCCCAGGCAGCAUCCUCAGGGAUUGCAGGCAGCCAGCCCCAUGCUUCCUUUUGGUGCAAAGGAGCCACCAAGCAGCGCUAAUGCCUGGCACGGCUCCCGCUUCCUGCGGCGAGCGCGGGGACAGAUGGUGCUCCAGGAAACACCUUGAGCUCCCACUGGCGCCUGUGCCUCCCACGAGGCUCGAUCUGGUGGUGAACCACGAGCACUCUGAGAGCUCCCAGCUUGCUCCGGCAUGCAGCCAGCUCCGUGUGCCAGCCAGAAACAGGGGCUUUCUCCUCAUUUUCCUGACCCAGCCUAGGUACACUGUCAGCAAGGGGAGCAAGAUCCAGCCACCACUACAACCACAGCAAAUGGUUUAACAUCAACCUACGCCAUGCCAAAGCAGGCCAGGUCUCAGCAUAAACCAACAGAUCAGCAUGGGCAUUAUUCAAGGGAAUCCCAUACACUGGGCUCCAUGCUGUAAAUGCCUGGUGCUGUCAGCAUCCAAACUGGUUAAUAUAAAACUAACAAUUAUAUCUUAUUGCUCUGCUGCUAUUUAGUUAUGUUUAGCUCCCACAUGGAAAAAAUCCCGAGGGGGAGCUGCCUGCAUUGGAAUGAAACCUAAAACAUUCCACGAACUGACAGCAGCAGAGGAAGCACUCCCUAGCCACAAGACUCUUUUCUCAUCCUAUUAACUCUUUUGUAGUACUGACACAAACAUCAGCAGGGGCCCAGCAAGACUGAAGCUGGAAUCCUUCACUGCUUCCCAAUGGCCUCCCCUGACCUGCUGGAGCACAGCCAGCCUCUGAGCACAGCUCUAAGAAGCUUUGCCAUUAGGUUGCUAGAUGCAGGAAUACCAAUUCCUGCAUUCUGCCCUCCUCUUUCUCCCUUCUCAGCUCUCCUGCAAGGGAAGAUCAACUCCAGAGCUGCCUACUUUCCAGAGGUUUGGAAAGCUCCCUGGGAUAGUGCAGAAGCGCCUGUCUGCAGCCAGCCAAGGUGUGCUGCUGGUCCCAACAGGAUCCAUCGGUGAUACUGAUGCCCACUCAAUCUGGACACCAGCAGUUGUCUGACUGGCCCCACAUCCAGGACAGCCUCGUGUUUCCUCCUGCCUCAAGGGUUUGGAAAACCUCCAAAGUUUGCAUUUAAGAGGUAUCUGCUCAAUCUCACUCAUGACAGAAGUCCUAGAAAGGAGACCUGGGAUCGACAGGCUUCAGUUAUCAAUACAACUCAAUAUUCGCAACCCACUUAAUUUCUGCUUCCCAGUUUUCAUCUCUGAUUGUUACUUGCCAGUAGCACAGGGGAAUGAAACAGGAAUAAAGCUUGGAGUUCAAACUGGAA